rnacentral:rRNA from 1 species
UACGUAGGGGGCAAGCGUUGUCCGGAAUCAUUGGGCGUAAAGAGCGUGUAGGCGGUUCUGUAAGUCCGCUGUGAAAGUCAAGGGCUCAACCCUUGAAUGCCGGUGGAUACUGCAGGACUAGAGUCCGGAAGAGGCGAGUGGAAUUCCUGGUGUAGCGGUGAAAUGCGCAGAUAUCAGGAGGAACACCGAUGGCGAAGGCAGCUCGCUGGGACGGUACUGACGCUGAGACGCGAAAGCGUGGGGAGCAAACAGG